rnacentral:lncRNA from 1 species
AAAUUUAAAUUUAAACUUUUUAAAAUUUAAAAUUUAUAUUUAUAAUUUAAAAUUAUAAAUUUUAAAGUUUAAAUUUUAAAUAUGAUAUUUUUAAAUUUUAAGUUUUAAAUUUGAUAUUUUUAGUUUUUAAAUUUUAAAUUUGAUAUUUUAUAUUAAUUGAAUUUAAAUUUGGUUUUAAAUUUAAAAUUUGGUAUUUAAAAUUAAAAUUUUAAAUUUUAAUUUCAAAUUUUAAAAUUUAAAAGUUAAAAUUUUUAAUUUUCAUUUUAAAAUUAUAAGUUUAAAAUUAAAAAAUUUAAAUUCAAUUAUAGGGGUAAUAUCAUUAUUUUUAUUUAUAACUAACAACUAUUUCACCUUAUACUCACAUUUUCAUCCAAACAUAAUUUUUCUAGUUCCAGUUUAUACUCACAUUUUCAUCCAAAUAAAAAAAUAUUCUUGUUCCUACGAAAACUCAUACUUGUAUCUAUCUCCGGUAUAACUAGUUAUUGCUUAUACCCGUACCAAACGAAGCCUUAAUAAGAAUCUAAACUACCUUUUUCAGCUUUUAAUUGAACAAAAAAAUAAAACUACUGUAUUAAUUAUA